AUGCCAUGGUGAGGGCAUUGCCUAUGUAACUCCUUAAAUCUUUCCCAAGCAUCGAAAAGUGAUUUGUCAUAUCCUUGCCUAAAUGAGGUAAUUUCAUUUCUCAUGUU